GCGCAUCGUUUAGGAAAAUCUCCAGAGUGGUUUAUGUUCGAAAAUCUGAAGUUACGGUUAAAAAACUGAAAUUGUGAAAUUGACAAAAUGAGAUUGGGGGUUAGGCCAAUGAAAGUUAAUUUUGGACCUAUUUCAAGAGAUUGUGACGGGCAACGACUAUAUAGGUGUUGUAGAGGAGACAUUGGCGCAUCGUUUAAGAAAAUCUCCAGAGUGGUCUAUGUUCGAAAAUCUGAAGUUACGGUUAAAAAACUGAAAAUGUGAAAUUGACAAAAUGAAAUUAGGGGGUAGGCCAAUUUAAGUUAAUUUUGGACCAAUUUAAGAGAUUUUGACGGGCAACGACUAUAUAGGUGUUGUAGAGGAGACAUUGGCACAUCGUUUAAGAAAAUAUGCAGAGUGGUUUAUGUUCGAAAAUCUGAAGUUACGGUUAAAAAACUGAAAAUUUUAUUGUGAAAUUGACAAAAUGAGUUUAGGGGGGUAGGGCACUAAAAGAAAAAUUUGGACCAUUUUAAAGAGAUUGUGACGGGCAACGACUAUAUAGGUGUUGUAGAGGAGACAUUGGCGCAUCGUUUAAGAAAAUCUCCAGAGUGGUUUAUGUUCGAAAAUCUGAAGUUACGGUUAAAAAACUGAAAUUGUGAAAUUGACAAAAUGAGAUUAGGAGGGUAGGCCAAUUUAAUUUAAUUUUGGACCAAUUUAAAGAGAUUGUGACGGGCAACGACUAUAUAGGUGUUGUAGAGGAGACAUUGGCGCAUCGUUUAAGAAAAUCUCCAGAGUGGUUUAUGUUCGAAAAUCUGAAGUUACGGUUAAAAAACUGAAAAUUUUAUUGUGAAAUUGACGAAAUGAGUUUAGGGGGGUAGGGCACUAAAAGAAAAAUUUGGACCAUUUUAAAGAGAUUGUGACGGGCAACGACUAUAUAGGUGUUGUAGAGGAGACAUUGGCGUAUCGUUGAAGAAAAUCUCCAGAGUGGUUUAUGUUCGAAAAUCUGAAGUUACGGUUAAAAAACUGAAAUUGUGAAAUUGACAAAAAGAGAUUAGGGGGGUAGGCCAAUUUAAUUUAAUUUUGGACCAAUUUCAAGAGAUUGUGACGGGCAACGACUAUAUAGGUGUUGUAGAGGAGACAUUGGCGCAUCGUUUAAGAAAAUCUCCAGAGAGGUUUAUGUUCGAAAAUCUGAAGUUACGGUUAAAAAACUGAAAUUGUGAAAUUGACAAAAUGAUAUUAGGGGGGUAGGCCAAUUUAAGUUAAUUUUGGACCAAUUUCAAGAGAUUGUGACGGGCAACGACUAUGUAGGUGUUGUAGAGGAGACUAUGGCGC